AGUGAACGCUGGCGGUAGGCCUAACACAUGCAAGUCGAACGGCAGCACAGUAAGAGCUUGCUCUUACGGGUGGCGAGUGGCGGACGGGUGAGGAAUACAUCGGAAUCUACUUUUUCGUGGGGGAUAACGUAGGGAAACUUACGCUAAUACCGCAUACGACCUACGGGUGAAAGCAGGGGAUCUUCGGACCUUGCGCGAUUGAAUGAGCCGAUGUCGGAUUAGCUAGUUGGCGGGGUAAAGGCCCACCAAGGCGACGAUCCGUAGCUGGUCUGAGAGGAUGAUCAGCCACACUGGAACUGAGACACGGUCCAGACUCCUACGGGAGGCAGCAGUGGGGAAUAUUGGACAAUGGGCGCAAGCCUGAUCCAGCCAUGCCGCGUGAGUGAAGAAGGCCUUCGGGUUGUAAAGCCCUUUUGUUGGGAAAGAAAAGAAGCAGGUUAAUACCCCGCUGUUCUGACGGUACCCAAAGAAUAAGCACCGGCUAACUUCGUG
rnacentral:rRNA from 1 species